rnacentral:rRNA from 1 species
GACGAACGCUGGCGGCGUGCUUAACACAUGCAAGUCGAACGAUGAAGCGGUGCUUGCACCGUGGAUUAGUGGCGAACGGGUGAGUAAUACGUGAGUGACCUACCUUUGACUCUGGGAUAAGCCUGGGAAACUGGGUCUAAUACCGGAUACGACCAAUCUCUGCAUGGGGUGUUGGUGGAAAGCGUUAUGGAGUGGUUUUAGAUGGGCUCACGGCCUAUCAGCUUGUUGGUGAGGUAAUGGUUUACCAAGGCGACGACGGGUAGCCGGCCUGAGAGGGUGACCGGCCACACUGGGACUGAGACACGGCCCAGACUCCUACGGGAGGCAGCAGUGGGGAAUAUUGCACAAUGGGCGCAAGCCUGAUGCAGCGACGCCGCGUGAGGGAUGACGGCCUUCGGGUUGUAAACCUCUGUUAGCAUCGAAGAAGCGAAAGUGACGGUAGGUGCAGAGAAAGCGCCGGCUAACUACGUG